GCGGGGGUUGUUGGUGAUUGGUGGAGACGUCUGUCUGUUCUCCUACCUCCCCUGUGGCUCGCGUAGUAGUGAGUGGGUUCCCGUGUGUUCCCUUCACCGCUCAGAUCUUAUGGCGUCGACUGUGUGGCCUGCUCCGUAGCCAUCUUCUUCUCAAAUAAUCUCAGCAGCUUUGUUUUGUGGCUAGGCAGUGACUUCCGGCUGGUCUUUUACUUGGAGUAAUAGCUAGGCAGCGG
rnacentral:lncRNA from 1 species